CUUUUGGACUGAGAUGGCAGGGCCCGGCUGAGUCCUAUAGUUGAAAGUCCCGGAGAUCCCAAUGGCUUGAUCUGCUUAUUAUAAAUAUAUUUGGGGAAAGAGUCAGCCAUAUGCAAGAAGCGGGACGAGGAAUGUUGGCAAGGCCACCCUAACCAGGGCUCUUCUAAUGUGGCUUAAUCCCAGCAUGUCAGCCUUACUUUCAUGGGCAGGAUCGGCGCAGACCCAACUCUGCAGCAAGGAGGCGGCCGUGCAAGGUGUCGCGGUGGGGGGAGGGCUACUACCACGGACAUUUACGCACCGCUUUUCACAAGUUCUCAAAGCGUUUUGCACAGAAAAACGAAAAAGGAAAGGGUCUGCCUUGCGCCGCUGCCAACGCUGGCUUCCCUCGCAACUGGCACCUCAACGAUCCAAACAGAUUUGCCGAACUCGCAGCCACGGCGAAGGCGCAGCCAAUGGGAGGCGGCGGCGGCGGAGGGUGGGCAGAGAACGCUCCCCGGGAGACACGCGCGCACGCGCCAGGCCCAGGAGGAGCUGCGGCGUCCGCUGACAUUGCGAGCCGGGUUGCCAAUUCAGCGCCUCUCUCUGGCAUAGAGAAAGCAGUCAGGUUGGCUUCCUCUCUAGGCGCGAUAAGAGCAGAUACUAAGUGAAGAUGACGUUUGCUGAGGACAAGUUGAAAAAGUAUAUUGACCGGAACUUGAGAAAGUUCCAUUGCAUUGAUGUAGAAAAGAUACUUAAUGACCUGCCAUGCCUCACUGUGAUGGACAAGCAAAAACUUAUAAGAACCGUGAAAAAUGACGGGAACAAUACGACUGUGUGGCACUUGUUUGAUACACUGCAGAGCCGGGAAGAUUGGGUAGAAUAUCUCAUCAGAGGUCUUCAGGAACAGAAUUUACAGAUAUUAGCGGAGGAAAUCCAGCAGGUUUAUGAGUCUCACCAAAUUGGUCCUCGAAGGCACAUUUUAGGAAGCUUGGCCCCUUCCUUCAAAGAUAUGGGUGAUUGCAAAACUCCAGUUCAAGAAACUAAUGUUCUAUCAAAGAGCAACGAGAAGGUGGUAAAACCUAAGGUGAGGAACUCACCAAAGCCAGAACCUUCCACACCUGUCCCAAGUAAGAGCUCUACAACACCCUCUCAUGCCAGGGGGACAGUGCCACUUUAUGCCCAAGCCAUACCAUUUCCAAACAUGUCCCCUUCGUCUCAGGAUGUAGUCCCCCUGGGUCCCAGAGAGAUACCCAAAGAGAAAAUGCUAAGCACCACGCCAGCAUCUUCCAGAUCCAGUGAGGAGGAUUUGGGGCAGCACUGGCAUGGUCGUCAGAAACAUCCUGUCUGUGUGGAAAAUGGGCGGUUUGGGAUCAUGAACCACCCGCCCAGCUAUGUUGCUUCUCCUGAACAUAAAAAUUCUGAAAAUCAGCCAGAGGAGAAUUCCUACUCGGCUUUUGAAAGCAGUCCACUGUCUUCAAGCAGUCCAGGUGAGAGCCAAGCUAAAGACUCACUCAGGGAGAAGAAGAUCCAAGCCCUGAGGGGUUACCAGAAUGAUGACCUGGUGGAUGCAGGUCUCUGUGAUUCACCUAAUGCAGCAAAAGAGCUCCCAUCUAGUCCUCCUUGGCCUUUAUCCAACACUUCGGAUCUCCAGUUUUCACCCAGAAAUCAGCACGUUCCUCGGGUCCCCAGCACUGUGCCUCCUAGUUCCUCCUCCACGCAGGUGAUUCCACCUAGCUUACCUGCAGCACUUUCAGGUGUCCCAAGUAAUGUGUAUUCCAGGGACCUUAAGCCUGUUGAAGACACAGAACUGCCGUUAGAUGACAAGACCACUUCUGAGCUGGAGGAAGAGGAGAUGCCGAGACCCAGAAGGAUCCACAACCAUGGCUCUUCCAGAGGUUACAAUGUCUUCCAGAGCAACCUGGAUGAUGACGUGCCCUGUAAACCGGGUAUUUUGACACCAGACUCAGAUGAAAGUAUGAGAGAAUCAGCUGACCCAAACUGGAGCAGCGAUGAGACAAAAGGUGAAUAUUCCGGGAGAUCAGAUAGACUUUGCUUGAGCACAUCCCUUGGAAGUGAACUUUUAAGCGAUCCUAUAAUGCUGAGUGAUUCCAGCCAAAGUGGUCUGCCUGAAAAGAUGUGCCCUGGUCCAGCCAGUUCAGGAAGAGAUGUGGCAGCUAGAAUAGACUGUGCUCCUAAGCCUGCACCUGACAGCCACCUGGAUGAUGGGUCCAUCAGAACCCACACAGAACAUGUGGUGCAGCCUCCCAGCGUUGAUCUCACAGGAGCACCUGAUAGGAUCAGUUCUACUAGCAUCCCCAGUAACUGGUCUCUGGAUUCCUUGCCUGACUCGGUACCCAAAUGUCAGCCCACCAAAAGUGCCAGUUCCUGUAAACUGGGUAUUUGGACACCAGACUCAGAUGAAAGUAUGAGAGAAUCAGCUGACCCAAACUGGAGCAGCGAUGAGACAAAAGGUGAAUAUUCCAGGAGAUCAGAUAGACUUUGCUUGAGCAUAUCCCUUGGAAGUGAACUUUUAAGCGAUCCUAUAAUGUUGAGUGAUUCCAGCCAAAGUGGUCUGUCUGAAGAGAUGUGCCCUGGUCCAGCCAGUUCAGGAAGAGAUGUGUCGGCUAGAAUAGCCUGUGCUGUUCAGCCUGCACCUGACAGCCACCUGGAUGAUGGAUCCAUCAGAACCCACACAGAACGCGUGGUGCAGCUUCCCAGUGUUGAUCUCACAGGAGCACCUGAUAGGAUCAAUUCCACUAGCAUCCCCAGUAACUGGUCUCUGGAUUCCUUGCCUGACUCGGUACCCAAAUGUCAGCCCAUCAAAAGUGCCCGUCCCCCCACCAAGAAUUCUGAGGAUUCCUCAAACAGGGAUCUCAACGAUGAAGCGCCAUUUACCAUGAGCACUUCUACAUUGCUUGUUGUUGGUUUUGCCCUGGCGUCUGUGGCAGCCAUGACUUUCGUGGUGUUGAGGCGGCUGAAGAAAUAGGAACUGAGGGGCUGAGGAAAAAAGAUUGCAGAACGUUGUUCCUGGCUAGCUUAAAACAGAACAAAAAAUCAACAGUUUGCAUAGCCAAGCGUUCCAGAAACCUUACCGUUCCACCAGUGCCUUAACUGAGGCAUCUGAGCUGGUCUCCAUGCCAGUUACAGAGACCGGAUACAUAAGCUACGUGGAUGCUGAGGACAAACAAGAGGAAAUGGCCAUCUUCCAUCUUGCUGUGUGACUUAUCCGUGGCCAUUCAUUGAGCUUCAUGGCCGAAAAGGGAUUUAUUCCGUCUUGGAUCCCCACGUCCAAACUUGGAUCCCCACGUCCAAAUACGGCUGCGGUACAACUCUAGCCUUUUCCAUGCAGAAUUAGACUUCGAGAAAGUUCCAAAGGUGGCACUGAGGAGGGAAGGAGGAAAACGCAGCAAGGCUUCAGUGAACAUUGUGACGCCCACUAAUCUAUUUGCCGUUUGGUUUUGUGCAGUUCUGCAAGUUUCUCAGAGCAAUUUAUCCAGUGACUACCAGACAGGAUGCAUAAAGAGGAAAUGCCUUUCCUUGGUUUGGCUUGGAUAUUGGAGGGACCUUGGUCAAGCUUGUUUAUUUUGAACCAAAAGACAUUACCACGGAAGAAGAAGAAGAGGAAGUGGAGAAUCUGAAAAGCAUUCGGAAAUACCUGACCUCCA